GGUCAUUUUUAUAUAGAUCUAAUCAAUAAUUUAUAUUUCCGUCUAAAAUUUUCAAAAAUUAAUGGAAAAUUACAAUAUAAAUACAGCCUUUGGCUCGGUCCCAGAUCAUUGCCAAUUUCAAAUCAUUUUAUAAUUAUUAUGUAAAAAUCUUCAGCUACUGAAGUGAUUGCAAUUUUUAAAGGUGUCUUGACAUUAGAAUAGUGACAUAUAUCGCAGGAUAGGCAGAUCCGAAAUAAGUUUAAUUAUUUUUUUCUGUCAUUUAGGAAAUAUCAGUCUUUCAUGAUCACACAGUUGCUGUUUCACAUUCUUCUAAAUGUCCUUCAUGAUUUUUUUCUUUAUUGAAUUAUCAUAAAUUCAUCCCUUUAUCAAACUUCACCCUUACAUCAAUAUCCAUCUGGCCCUUGCUAACUGGUCAUUUGUCUAGUGUUUACAAAAAUCAUUUACAUCAAAGGAAUGUCAACAUAUUUUAUGCAAACUUUCCUCAAAGGCAUAUUCCAAAAAUUAAUUUAAUGCACCAAUUUGAUUUCAGGGAUUUAUUGAUACUUUAUUGAUGCUCUUUUUCAUUUUUAAAACUCUUAAUGAUUUUCAAUUGACAGAUUACACUCUGGUCACCUGUCCAUUGUAUUGGUGAGAAUCUGCCUCAUCUAUUCCUAUCUCAGGUAAACUUUUUGCCACCCAUAUUGAAAGAUGACCAGUUACAUGCUUAUGAAGAAGGGGACAUGGGUUUGAUUCCCAGAAUAGCAAUUUAUAUAUACAUUAACAUGCCUUAGAUAGAUAUAUAUUUAGUUUGCUUUGCACAUAUUUUUAUUUUCUUAUGCACAUUUCCCUUUAUAUUUCUCAUGACAUGUUUAAAAUGCUAUGUAUGGAUGGUGAUGGUUGGGGAUGAGUUAUAUAUAAUUUAGUAUGAAAACAACCUAAUUUUUCCUAAUUUCUUUAUAACACAAUUGAAGCUCUUACUCUCUGCUUUCUUAAAUCUUUACUACUUUCUAACACUUUUUAACACUUCUACUGCACCAAUGCAAGGUGAAGAUAACGAACAGUGAUCAAUCUCAUAAAUCCUACAAGCAA